GGGCCUGUGGUGUAGCGGCCUAACAUGUCGCCCUGUCACGGCGAAGAUCGGGGGUUCGAAUCCCCUCAGGCCCGCCA
rnacentral:tRNA from 1 species